GGUGACGAGUGGGGGACGGGUGAGGAAUGUGUGGGGAUCUGCCCGAUAGAGGGGGAUAACCACUGGAAACGGGGGCUAAUACCGCAUAACGUCGCAAGACCAAAGAGGGGGACCUUCGGGCCUCUCACUAUCGGAUGAACCCAGAUGGGAUUAGCUAGUANGCGGGGUAGUGGCCCACCUAGGCGACGAUCCCUAUCUGGUCUGAGAGGAUGACCAGCCACACUGGAACUGAGACACGGUCCAGACUCCUACGGGAGGCAGCAGUGGGGAAUAUUGCACAAUGGGCGCAAGCCUGAUGCAGCCAUGCCGCGUGUAUGAAGAAGGCCUUCGGGUUGUAAAGUACUUUCAGCGGGGANGAAGGGGGNGAGGUUAAUACCCUCNCCNAUUGACGUUACCCGCANAANAAGCACCGGCUAACUCCGUGCCAGCAGCCGCGGUAAUACGGAGGGUGCAAGCGUUACUCGGAAUUACUGGGCGUAAAGCGCACGCAGGCGGUCUGUUAAGUCAGAUGUGAAAUCCCCGGGCUUAACCUGGGAACUGCAUUUGAAACUGGCAGGCUAGAGUCUCGUAGAGGGGGGUAGAAUUCC
rnacentral:rRNA from 1 species